GAGAAAAUAAGUGGGUUCUACUGAGAAAGAGAGAGGAAGGAGAAGUGAAAGAGGAAGAACCCAGAAGAAGGAAAGUCAUGAGAAACAGAGGGAGUCAUUAGAAAAAAAUAUUCCAUCCCUUGGUUGGGUUUAAAGAAGCUGGAAGAGACAGAGUGACUGGAAAAUGAGAAGAUACCUUAAGGAGGCUUGCCAUUCUCCUCUUGACGUUCAAGCUCUUGACAACAGUUGCUUCAAACCCAAGGCAAAUCAACCAUGGGUCACCAGGAGUAGUAUUAGCUGGAGCUUGCCAGUCAGCAUGAAGGUGCAGACUGCCUAAUCCUCCCUGGUGAUAAAAGGAAUAUGUUGGUAAACUGGAGAUUAAUUUGGUGCUGAAUUAUUCAUUCAUUCAUUCUGUUUGUCUCUGUGUUAAUAAACCACAGUGAGGGGAAAAAAAAAAACCAGCAACUCCAGCGUUCACGCUUGAAGCCCCUUACAAUCAAUGGGCAUUUAGAUGAGUAAAUAGAAAUUUGGCAAUUAGCAGUGUGUUUGGAUCUGGAGAUCAGCCUUGGAACAUUGUUGCCCUGGCAUGCUCACUGAAAAGUUCCUGGAGGCUGGUGUGUAUUGCUGUUCUACAUUUUUCUCCAGUGAAGGCCUAGAUCCCACCUUGCAUUAUUUUCUCCUGACUUCAUUGUGAACCACCUAAACUCACCCAGUAUAAUCGCAGGGAUUUGACAGCACAGCGCUUCCCGCCUACUCCAUCCUUGUGUCAUCUGCUUACACUCUUCACAUUUUUGUACCCAGACAUCUCUCACCCCACAGACAAAACUUCCAUCUCAAAACUGAACCAGAAAUGAGAAAUAGAGUUAAGGUUUCAGAAAAGAAACUGGCAAGAGGUGUUGUUGUGGGGCUGACAUUGAGUGUCCAAAGAGAAGUGAGGGCAGCCAAGAGAUCUGAGCUAAGAGCACUUCUCUGGUCUUGCUCACAGUAGGUGUUCUUUUUUCUCAGCCCAUUUUCUAAAGUCACUUUAUUUUUGAUCGCAGGAGAGAAGCUGGAUGUGCCACUGAAUUGGUUCUGUAAUGGGCCUAUCAAAGCACUGUGUGUGCGCAAUUGGGAUGUCUUUGUGAGAUAAUGACUUUUCUUACACUUCCUUCGGAUAUGUACUUACACAGUAACACCUUCUUAAAGGACUUGCUCUGUUUAUGUACUGUUAUGAAUCCUGAUGUUUGUAAUUCAAGCUUGCAGUCAAUUCUUCUCUUUUCCGCAGCAGUGCUGUUUUCACUGCUCUUGGCAUACUUUUUUCAUUAACACUUGUUGAUUUCUAUCCUUCCUUUCAGCAUCUUUCUUUUACCUUUGCUCAGCGUAGGGACAAUGUGAUAAUAUCACUUUGCAGGGAGGAAACUUAUUUUUCCUUUUAUGCCACUUCAAGUAACGCUUUCCUUGCUAUAUCCUAUUGCUAUCGGACCCAGCAGGGAGUGUCUCCCCACCUUCUAAAUAACUCAAGCAGUUUUUUUCCCCCAAUUUCUAGCAUAGCUCCAGACUUUCCGAAGCAUCUUCCAGAUAGGGAUCAUUCAAGCUUGCCCAUGUGGCUCCUAGAGCUGAUUCACCACCUUUAGUUAACAAAGAUUGUUAAUGGGUCUUCUUGCUGCCAUGAGCCCAGCUCAUGUAAUACUGUAUUGCAUCCCAGUCUGUGAGGUUGCUGCUCUGCCCAUGCUUGAGUCAUCUUCAGCUCCUGAAUCAUCCUUUUUUUUUGUGGAGCAAAAAGCUCCCUGACAAUUAGCAUGCACCUCUUUCCAGCCAUAAUAAAUACACAUUUGCCACUCUUACCUGUCCAGUGAGGAUAAUAUCCCCUGAAACUGUAAAAAAGGAGAGAAAUAUCUGUCAGUAUUUCUGGGGGAUCAGAAACAUGUCUGUAUUUGGUUUACUGCAAACAGGCAGGUAUUUAUGUGUUAGAAACACAGGCAUGUAUAAGUACACAAUAUUGAACUCCCACCUAAUCCUCCUUUGGUUAUUAAAACCUGUGGGAAUAAACAUGCCCUCAUUCUCAAAUGCCCUCACCAAUUAGUGUGACUGACCAGACUCGGAUUGCAUCACUGCCUCCCUUUCUUAUUAUCCCCUAUUGCCUCAGAAAAGGUCCUCGACCAGAUACUGGUAAGGGAGCAGAUGCUCUUCUUCUACAUACCCAAACAUUUCUCUUUUCUCUGAAGCUCAGCAGGUGAUAGGGGAAAAGAAGAUGGAUUCUGAUGCAAAAACUGGGAGAUAGAUCAAAGAAGGCUGUGGGUGAAGGCACACGGGUCUGCAGCAUCUCAGCUCCCAGCCUUUGUAAUUUCUUGUUUAUGCACGUACAUUGGUGCUCAUAGCCACCAACAUAAUUUUCCUUCUGUCACUGAUAUUUGACACCAUCACACCAGAAAAAAAAUGCACUGCCCCCCAAAUCACUCCCUUUCUUUGCUUGAGUCACUUAAAAUCAUCUCCCCAGUGACAUUUUUUGCUUUUUUGGAGAGUUUGGGGGAAUAUCUCUUCCCUUUUCCCCCAAACUCUGCAAUUCCAAGAAGAUCCAAGAAGGCCCAUGGGCAGAGCCAUCCAUCUUCGGAAUUACAUCCGUACUGAACACACUCAGGACAGUCCGAGCAUCAUUCUCAGACUGUCUGCACCACAGCUGUUAGCCCACUCUCACUCAUGGCUGUGGACUGUGCAAAUCAACUGUCUUCUGGGUGACGUUCAUGCCUGGUUUGAGGCAUGAAUGCCAAGGGUCAUUUAUAAGGCCCAUCUGUUCUAGCAGAGGGGAGGAGAAUUUAACUAUCUGAACAUAAGCUCUUUCAGGCCACUUGGGUUUGGUAACAAGCACAGUGAGUCCAUGGCAGCUUGACCAACGUCUAGAGAAUCAGCUCCAUAUUCUUACGUGAUCACAGACAAACGCUACUUGCACUCCUCACCUCUGUUCACCCCCUGCAGAUAAGAACCAACCAUCCUGCUUUUGGAUUGCUCGGUAGCCUGCACUGUGGAGGGAUGGCAGGAAUGGCUUUGACAAGAAGUUUGCACUGUGUCACAAAGUCAGAACUUGGCAGCAGAUUCCACUGACUCCUGCAACCAAGAGAGAACACCAGAGUCUGUAUUUCUAACUUUCUCCUUUCCUUUCCCCACUUCAGAACAAGGGAGCACUUCUGCGCUUUCCCCUUCACCACUGACGUAUCCUCACCUGUAUAUGAUGCUUGUCACAUUCCUAAAAGGAGCAGAGUAAAAAGAGGAAAGACCCCCCCACCCCUUCCUCCUGUGCAGAAGACAUUUUUUCAAAGCCUUAGGACUGGGACAUGCACUACAGGUAGGAAGAGAGUGAUAGAGAAAGAAGGAUGUACUGGAAGCACGUCUGAUGAAGCAAGAUGCUGAGCUGGUUUGAGCAUUCUGAUCGCAGCAGCAUGCAAAAUCCUAUUAUGGCUUUACUACAGCAAGUUUAAUACACUGAACCCUUCAUUGCUUUAGCUGCCCCUGCCAGGCAUCUCUGAAAUUCACACCAACAGGUUUUCAAUCUCUUAGCAAUCCCCAGCUCGCAGGAGCAGCUCCUGGGAGGGGGGAGGAAUUAUGCAACAGCUCCAAACCUGACUGCAGGACGGAGGCUUCUGUCUUCUUCCUCUCCCACUACAAAGCCCCAUGGGUUUGCUAAGGGUUACCCCAGCAGAAUGGAUGAUUUUUAGGAUCUUCUUGGAGCGUACCGAACACUUUCUGACACAUUCUGAGUUUUUGAUUUUCCUAAGAAAAAAAUAUUUAUUGCUGAAUUUGGGAAACGGACAUGAGGAGGUAUCACAGGAGAGUCUGUAACAAAGCAGGGAAUCGUGGAGGAGUCUGUGGCAAAGCUGGGAACUAACGUUGUAUCUCGCCCUAUGGAGCCAUACGUCAAACAUUGGUAUUUUCUAAAAUAAAAGUUAGAAGGAAUAAAAAAUAAAAGCAUUCUUCUGUGUGUGAUUACAAAGGACUGAGCAGAGCUGCAUGUGGUGCAGAGGUGUUUUGAUCAGGUGCUGGGGAACAGAGGAGGGUAAGCAUUUGGGAGAAGAAAGGAGUCUAAGAACACACUUUACAGCAGGAGUUGAGUUAUCUGAUGAAAGAACGGCAUGGAAAUGAUGCAAAUCUCACUGCUUUGUCCUAAACAUCAUGAUAUUUAACAUUUUCCUUCAAGCCUCAGCACCUGGAGUUGGGGGAAUCAAAUGACAGUUUCAAUUCUCAUAUCAAAUACAAGAAAGGAAGGGGGGAAGUGAGGUUCUUUCUCUUCUCCAGAGAAAAAAUAACCUCAAAAUACAACCAAAGAUCCCCUGGAUAUUCAAAUAAAACAUUGUGUUUUUUUUAAAUACGGUUUUAUGUUUGGGUAAGUUGGGGGUAUUUUAGGUCUAGCUUGGCAUAGAGAUGUGGUGAAAUGGUGGAUGGGCAUAAGGAGGUACUGUACUGGAAAAGAAAUGUGAGUGUGCAUGCCUGUGUUGCCCACCAUAACAUCACUUUUCACUGCAGCAGAGUAAAGAUGUCACUGUAUGGACACCAAUCCCUGAGAGGUGAAUCUGUGUGUGACUGGGGUGUAGGGUCAGCUGGAAUUUCUGGGAACUUCUGAGGCUUCAUGGCCCUGAGCAGCCAGCUCCCCCUGUCCCUUCCCAUUGCCUCCCCUGAGGUCCCUCUCACCUCUCUGCAUGCAAAGCACUGUUCCCUGUUGAAUGCCCUGUGGAGAGGAGGCCAAGCAGCACAUUAACUCCUGGGUAUUGAAAUCACAGCUCCACAGCACAGGGCUGCAGCAAGGAAAACAAUUGCCAGACACUUGCAGAACAGAUCCCUUUCACGCUAUGAUAAUGGCUUUGGGCUUGCCAGCCCUCUCUUCUGCCCUCCCCAAUACCUUGCUGUUUAUUCUAUUACUGGCUCCAGUUUUGUAUAUUCCAAUUUUGUAUAGGCUCUCAAGCACAACCACAUGAGAGGAAGGGGAUAGCUGUGGUGCAAAUUUGGAGGAUCUUCUCCUGCCCCGCCACUGAAAUCACAGGAUCUUAUCCAUGCAGAAAGUGCAAAUGUAGCCCUCACUGUCCUCUCCCUCCACCGAGAGCUGGUCAUGGAAGCCCUGCUGGAAUCUGGGGCAUUUUUCUCAGUCAUAAGGCAGCAGGCAGCAGACAAAUCACUGUUAUCUGUGUCUCUUCCUUCUCCAGGAGGCCCGUGUAUCUUUUUCAUUUAGGUAAUAACAGGCUUUUGGCAGAACCUUCAGCACAUACCCAAGCUGCAGGUGAGCUGAGGAGUUUGGCUUAGAUUUUGAAAGUCUUUUUGCACGAGUAAUAGAGGGGUUUCCCUAGAGCUCUGCCAAGGCAGACUUGGAGCUCCCAGAGCAGAGCCUGGCUGAGGUGCAGGGAGAGCAGGAGAAGCAGCAUUGCUGGUCAGGGAAAAAGGAAGAUGGAGAUUUACAAUCGAUCAAUCACACAGUCAUUAAGGUUGGAAAAGACCUCCAAGAUCACCCAGUCCAAACUCGAGCCCAUCCCUGCCAUGCCCACCGACCAUAUUCCUCAGUGCCACAUCCACACGGUUCUGGAACACCUCCAGGGACGGUGACUCCACCACCUCCCUGGGAUUUGCUGGAGGUGGGACAGCAAUGGAACCCUUAUGGAGAGGACCAUGCUGAAAGAGACACCAUAGGAAGGAGAAGCCAGAGACAGGAGUGAGAUGGAAGGAUCAGAGCAGGAAGAGAAUAAGAGAUUCUGAAUUAGAGCACAAAUAUCACAGAAUCAUGGAAUAACUCAAGCUGGAAGGGACUCUUAAGGAUCAUAAAGCCCAGCUCCUGGGUGAGCUUCAACAUUCUGAUGAUGGCAGAAAGUCCCGAACGCAGUAUUUCUUGAGGAAGCAAAACAGUAUCUUUCUGCAGACGUUAUGCCAUGUUGGGGGAGGGUCAAUGACAAGCUCCAAGAAGCUCCUGACUGUUAGGUGACUUUUCAAACAGGUGCAGGAAUUGAUAUUUCUCUCCCUUUUAUUUUCUCUCCCUCAUUGCAAUGGAAAAUAAAUUAGCACACACGCACGCACACAAAGAACAAGCUCAAACUCAGUCAUGGGUUAAGUUUGUUAAUAUAUCAGAGUAUUUCAAAGCGUCUCUCCCCAGCCAGUCGAUUUUGAAAAGUCAAUUUUUUUCUCCUCCAAAAAAGAUUGGACUAAAAUUUUCUAGUGGUUUCUAUGUCUCCCACGAGCAAUGGGAUGGUUAUACACUUUCACAGCUGUGAAACCCACAGGAAUCUCUGGUUUAGCUGUGAAUGUGAUUCCGGUCAGAUGGGGCUUCACUGUCAUUCAGGAGCUUGCUGAUGAGCUAUAAAUAUUCAUAGAACUGAUUAGACAUUAAUUGCACAAAUCACCACCUCUUCAGCCAUCCCCAGGAACCUUGCUUCCACUCACCAUGGUUAAAGGAGCAGAAGAAAACAUCUCUUCCAUGUAGGUGCCUUAGGGUCAGCCUAGUACCUCAGAAGGAAAAGGGACUGCUAAAAACCUCACCUUGCAAAGUCCCUUAAUGCCACGGUCCCUUCCCAAGUUCUGUCCGUGUUACAUGUGCAUGCACAGAUGUGCACCACAGACUGUGAGCAUGCAGAACAGGACCUGUGUUUGGACACAGUCAGAAGGGGACCUCUAAUCCAGUUUUUCCAGCAAGAUAAGGAGCAAAGACAUGUUGUGCUAGCAGGGCGUAUGCUCCUCUCCCUGCACAUGUUCUGCCCAGAUGUGAUACGUUACUUGGUCUUGACAUCUCUGUCAUCCCUGCUCCAGAGAUGUGUGCACUGGCUGCCCAGAAUGCCAACAGUAUCCUGGGCUGCAUCAAAAGAGAGGUGGCCAGCAGGGAGAGGGAG